rnacentral:rRNA from 1 species
UUAUCGGAUUUAUUGGGUUUAAAGGGAGCGUAGGCGGACGCUUAAGUCAGUUGUGAAAGUUUGCGGCUCAACCGUAAAAUUGCAGUUGAUACUGGGUGUCUUGAGUACAGUAGAGGCAGGCGGAAUUCGUGGUGUAGCGGUGAAAUGCUUAGAUAUCACGAAGAACUCCGAUUGCGAAGGCAGCUUGCUGGACUGUAACUGACGCUGAUGCUCGAAAGUGUGGGUAUCAAACAGGAUUAGAUACCCUGGUAGUCCACACAGUAAACGAUGAAUACUCGCUGUUUGCGAUAUACAGUAAGCGGCCAAGCGAAAGCGUUAAGUAUUCCACCUGGGGAGUACGCCGGCAACGGUGAAGCUCGAAGGAAUUGACGGGGGCCCGCACAAGCGGAGGAACAUGUGGUUUAAUUCGAUGAUACGCGAAGAA